GAUGAACGCUGGCGGCGUGCCUAAUACAUGCAAGUCGAGCGAACAGACGAGGAGCUUGCUCCUCUGACGUUAGCGGCGGACGGGUGAGUAACACGUGGAUAACCUACCUAUAAGACUGGGAUAACAUCGGGAAACCGGAGCUAAUACCGGAUAAUAUAUUGAACCGCAUGGUUCAAUAGUGAAAGACGGUUUUGCUGUCACUUAUAGAUGGAUCCGCGCCGCAUUAGCUAGUUGGUAAGGUAACGGCUUACCAAGGCAACGAUGCGUAGCCGACCUGAGAGGGUGAUCGGCCACACUGGAACUGAGACACGGUCCAGACUCCUACGGGAGGCAGCAGUAGGGAAUCUUCCGCAAUGGGCGAAAGCCUGACGGAGCAACGCCGCGUGAGUGAUGAAGGUCUUCGGAUCGUAAAACUCUGUUAUUAGGGAAGAACAAAUGUGUAAGUAACUAUGCACGUCUUGACGGUACCUAAUCAGAAAGCCACGGCUAACUACGUG
rnacentral:rRNA from 1 species